rnacentral:rRNA from 1 species
AUACGGAGGAUGCGAGCGUUAUCCGGAUUUAUUGGGUUUAAAGGGUGCGUAGGCGGUCGGGUAAGCGUAGGGUGAAAGUCCUCUGCUCAACAGAGGAAGUGCCUUCCGAACUGUCCGACUGGAAUGCUCCUGCCGUGGGAGGAAUGUGUGGUGUAGCGGUGAAAUGCAUAGAGAUCAGACAGAACACCGAUUGCGAAGGCCACUCACGAAGGGGCUAUGGACGCUGAGGCACGAAAGCGUGGGGAGCAAACAGGAUUAGAUACCCUGGUAGUCCACGCAGUAAGCGAUGAUGGCUAACCGUCGGUCAAGACUGAUCGGUGGCCAAGCGAAAGCGAUAAGUCAUCCACCUGGGGAGUACGACCGCAAGGAUGAAACUCAAAUGAAUUGACGGGG